rnacentral:rRNA from 1 species
GAGACCCACGCCCACAGUUGCCAGCGUACUCUCCGGAGUGACGGGUACACUGUGGGGACCGCCGCUGCUAAAGCGGAGGAAGGAAUGGGCAACGGUAGGUCAGUAUGCCCCGAAUAUCCCGGGCUACACGCGAGCUACAAUGGUUGGUACAAUGGGUAUCUACCCCGAAAGGGGACGGAAAUCUCCUAAAACCAAUCUUAGUUCGGAUUGAGGGCUGCAACUCGCCCUCAUGAAGCUGGAAUCCGUAGUAAUCGCGUUUCAACAGAACGCGGUGAAUAC